UACGAGAGCCUCGAGCGUUAUCCGGAAUUAUUGGGCGUAAAGGGUGUGUAGGUUGUUCUGUUAGUCUUUUGUCAAAGCCUCGGGCUUAACCUGAGAUACGCAAAGGAAACGGCAGAACUUGAAAGUGCGAGAGGUUUGCGGAACUUAUGGUGUAGGGGUGAAAUCCGUUGAUAUCAUAGGGAACACCAAAUGCGAAGGCAGCAAACUGGCGCAUAUUUGACGCUGAAACACGAAAGCGUGGGUAG
rnacentral:rRNA from 1 species